UAAGGCAAGGGGAAAUUAUUUCCCACCACGGUGUUUUAUUUUUAAAGUAAAAUAUUAUCGACAAAUUAUUUGCAGUGAACGAAUGAAAGAGACCACAAUUUUUUUGGACUUUGUUUUUUCUUUUCCUGGCAACACUUUUUGCUUCAUGGCAACCCUUGACUUUUUUUUUAAAUGUCAAAGUGUCAGUGGCAAAAUUUCGAGUAAACGAGCGUUGAUUUUUGUGACGAUCCGAAGUAAAAACGAGUUUUUGUUCUACAAAAAAUCCUGAUUGUCAAUCAUGAGUAAGAGAAGAAGUGUAAUGAAAACGCAGAGAGAUAUAGAAGAAGUGCUAGAAAAUCUGUCAGAUUUGUCGGAUAUAGACUCUGACGAUGAUGCAUAUUAUAUAACAUCCCCUUUGAGCAGCCCGGCGGAUGUGCUGGAUGGACGUCAAGAUCAAGAUGCUGUUAUUGAAAAGCGUCUUGAAGCUCUAUUUGGUACUACUGAUACACUUCAGCAAACGAUCGAAGAUCUAGAACAAUAUUCGAUAUAUAAGCGAAAUAAAACACUAUUAUAAGUA